rnacentral:misc_RNA from 1 species
GUUUUUCAUUUAUUCAUCCUUUUCCAAACACUUUUAAUAUCAGGCAACCACCAAAAUUUGUAAAAAUUUCGUUUCCUUUUUUUUUCUUCCCGAUCAAUAAAAAAAAGAAGGGGUUUCCCUUCUUUUUUUUAUCAACCAAAAAAAAAAAAAAGAGAAACUUUCUUUUUGGGUAUCUAUGUUGUUUGCAAGCCAAAAAAAAUAAUUCCUGGCUUGAGUUUAUAUAAAACCAUUUUUUUCAAUGAUGAUCCUUCCGCAGGUUCACCUACGGAAA